GAUUACCAGAGAGAUGAAAAUGGCGUCCGUGAACUCCACUGUACAGAAUCUGCAUGAAGGGUCCGUACAGAUCUCCCAUCGGGAUUCAUCCGUUUCCGGGAUAUCCUCAUUCUUUUGGUACAGCCAUGGUAGAUCUCUUCCAAAGACACUCUUAGGUCAUGAAUUAUAGGUGGGUCCUGCUUGCGGCGGAACUGGUUACCAACCUGAUUCUUUUCUCUUGGAAAUCCAUUCAUGUCGAAACUUGUAAAUGAACUAAAUGGGAAUGGGUCCUCAUCUAACUCCAUGUCUUCAUCAUUCCGGCCACUCGGCAUCCUUCUCCCAAAGAACAUUUCGAAUGGGUUUGCUCCACCAAAAAAUGCAGCAAAUGUUGCAUGUGGAUCACCAUGAAAAGAAUAGUGAAAGUUUCCACCAUGUCCAUCUGGUGCUUCAGACCCUCCUUUAAGUCCUACAAUAACAAAAAGAAAAGUAGUGAAGAAUUGAAAGCAUGGUUCAUUACUCUUUAAUUCAAAUAACAUAAAAGAUUGAUUUGUUGUCCAA